UGCCUCUUACCAGGGCCUUAGAACUCUGAUUUGCUGUGGAGCUGACCACAAAAAAGCCCCCACCAGGCUUGCUUUUUGCUGCUUGCCAGCGCUCAGCCCACUGGGAACAUUC
rnacentral:snoRNA from 1 species